AAACAUCAUGGACGAAGUCAAUGGGUGAUCAAUAAGACUCAUGGCUUAGGUUAGUGGCCUCUAUUGCACUUAGGAGGGGUGUUCACCGGAAGUCUACCCAAGUGGUAGAACCUAAGUUAUAAUUUGUGCAAGCAGGGGCCUGCGAUCGCGCAGCCCCUUC